CCAGACUCCUACGGGAGGCAGCAGUAGGGAAUCUUCGGCAAUGGGCGAAAGCCUGACCGAGCAACGCCGCGUGAAUGAAGAAGGCCUUCGGGUUGUAAAAUUCUGUUAUAAGGGAAGAAAGGUGAUAGGAGGAAAUGACUAUCAAUUGACGGUACCUGCAAAGGAAGCACCGGCUAACUCCGUGCCAGCAGCCGCGGUAAUACGGAGGGUGCGAGCGUUAAUCGGAAUUACUGGGCGUAAAGCGCUCGUAGGCGGUAUGUCAAGUCAAGGGUGAAAUCCCCGCGCUCAACGUGGGAACUGCCUUUGAAACUGGCAAACUGGAGUGUGUGAGAGGAUAGUGGAAUUCCAGGUGUAGGAGUGAAAUCCGUAGAUAUCUGGAGGAACAUCAGUGGCGAAGGCGACUAUCUGGCACAUAACUGACGCUGAGGAGCGAAAGCGUGGGUAGCAAACAGGAUUAGAUACCCCAGUA
rnacentral:rRNA from 1 species